GGCCAGGAGCGGCCGGUCCGUGCGGCGAGGAAGGAUUCCUCCCGGCCGGCCCCGACGGGGCGCAGCACCGGCGCCGGGAGCUCGGCGCCCCCGAGCCGCCGGGUGGCCGGGAAGCCUCGCGGGGGAGGCGCUCGGAGGCGCGUGCCGCCCGCCCCCGCGUGGGUGAGGGUCGGGCAGCCGGCGCUGCGGAGGUGGGAAGGGGCGGAGGCGGAGAGACGAGCCCCGGGGCUGCGAAAGCCUCGGGCCGGGGCCGGUACCGGGAGCUGCGGCGGGUCGCGCGUCCCCCCGGGCCGGUCCCGGCCGCGCUUCUCCAGCUGCCCGCCUGCUCCCGCCUCCGGCUGCCUUUCGGGCUGUCCGGGUCCCCGCAGCUUUUUGCUAUUCUACCGACACCCCCCCGUACGCCGUUGCCUUCUCCACGUCCUUUCCUCGCCUCUCCCUUGCUGGCUCCCCAGCCGCCUGAAGCAUUUCAUUCCUUCCACGCUGCCGCCUUCCUCGUCGCUUGUGAAAAUCGCAUUGAAAGAGGGCCUUAAUCUUCAAGGACAAUGGCUUGCGAUUAGGAGUCUCCUGAUUUCCUCACGGGGCCUCUCCACGUCUACGUUUCCUGGGAGGCGUUGAUCGCGCUCGCCUAGCUCAGGGACCUCUGUGUGACGGACAACGCGUUGCAGGUGUUUGACCAAUUGCUUAAGUUUUUACACUACCCU